rnacentral:rRNA from 1 species
AGAUUGAACGCUGGCGGCAUGCCUUACACAUGCAAGUCGAACGGCAGCACGGGGGCAACCCUGGUGGCGAGUGGCGAACGGGUGAGUAACAUAUCGGAACGUGCCCUGGAGUGGGGGAUAACUAGUCGAAAGACUAGCUAAUACCGCAUACGAUCUACGGAUGAAAGUGGGGGAUCGCAAGACCUCAUGCUCGUGGAGCGGCCGAUAUCUGAUUAGCUAGUUGGUGGGGUAAAGGCCUACCAAGGCAUCGAUCAGUAGCUGGUCUGAGAGGACGACCAGCCACACUGGGACUGAGACACGGCCCAGACUCCUACGGGAGCAGCAGUGGGGAAUUUUUGGACAAAUGGGCGCAAGCCUGAUCCAGCAAUGCCGCGUGAGUGAAGAGGCUUCGGUGUAAGCUCUUUGUCAGGAAGAAACGGUUCGUGACGUAAUACCGUAGGAG